rnacentral:misc_RNA from 2 species
UUACCCCACCCGCCGUCACACCAUGGAAGCUGGUAGUGCCCGAAGUCGUUACUCUAACCUUUCGAGGGAGAGGAUGCCGAAGGCAGGACUGGUGACUGGGGUGAAGUCGUAACAAGGUAGCCGUACCGGAAGGUGUGGCUGGAUCACCUCCUUUUAGGGAGACCAACCGUUCAGCCAACAGUGACCAGUGAGCAGUGACCAGUGAAAGAUGGUCACUGAAAACAGGAAACAAAUGGGAACUGAAAGGACAUCCCUGGUCGGACGAUUGAAUGAAGCUGGCUUUCAAACUAUAAGGAUUGGUUCGAUUUCGGGCUAUUAGCUCAGGUGGUUAGAGCGCACCCCUGAUAAGGGUGAGGUCCCUGGUUCGAGUCCAGGAUGGCCCACCUGGAAAAUUAUGAAUGACAAAGAAGGAAUUAUGAAGUUUUCAGAAUUCAGAAUUGAGGAUUCAUAAUUUUAUGGGGGUAUAGCUCAGUUGGUAGAGCGCCUGCUUUGCAAGCAGGAUGUCAGGAGUUCGAGUCUCCUUACCUCCACCUACCGUCGAAAAUUGACAACAAGGCAAAAAGCUAGCAAACCAGAAAAAAUGGGAGCAGAAGAGCUAAGUUGGCAAAAAGCGGGAAACCAAAGAAGAAAGAGAAUGGAAUCAGUUCUAGCACUGCGAGCUAUCGAAGGUCGGGAUGCUGGAAGAGAUUCCAGUUUUGAACCUUGAAAACUGCAUAGAAACGCGAAGUAACUCAAGAGUUAGUGGAUAGUAGUUAGUGGUUAGUGGUUAGUAGAAAAAACUAACAAAUAACAAAUAACAGCUAACAACUAACAAAGAGCAUAGUGGUCAAGUUAAUUAGGGCUAAUGGUGGAUACCUAGGCCCAAA